AACGAACGCUGGCGGCAUGCCUAACACAUGCAAGUCGAACGAGACCUUCGGGUCUAGUGGCGCACGGGUGCGUAACGCGUGGGAACCUGCCCUUAGGUUCGGAAUAACUCCCCGAAGGGGGUGCUAAUACCGGAUAAUGUCUUCGGACCAAAGAUUUAUCGCCUUUGGAUGGGCCCGCGUUGGAUUAGCUAGUUGGUAGGGUAAAAGCCUACCAAGGCGACGAUCCAUAGCUGGUCUGAGAGGAUGAUCAGCCACACUGGGACUGAGACACGGCCCAGACGCCUGCGGGAGGCAGCAGUGGGGAAUAUUGGACCAUGGGCGAAAGCCUGAUCCAGCACUGCCGCGUGAGUGAUGAAGGCCUUAGGGUUGUAAAGCUCUUUUACCCGGGAUGAUAAUGACAGUACCGGGAGAAUAAGCUCCGGCUAACUCCGU
rnacentral:rRNA from 1 species